UCAGGGUUAACGCUGGCAGCGUGCCUAACACAUGCAAGUCGAACGACUAAUUUAUUAGUAGUGGCAAACGGGAGCGUAACACGUGGACAACAUCCCCCUAAGUGGUGAAUACCUCCGAGAAAUCGGAGCUAACACACCAUGGUCUUUCGCGGUGAAAUUCCGCGAUUGUAAAUGAGCAAUCAGCUUAGGGAGUGGUCUGCGGCCUAUCAGCUUGUUGGCGGGGUAACGGCCCACCAAGGCAACGACGGGUAGCUGGUCUGAGAGGACGUCCAGCCUCAGGGGCACUGAGAUACGGGCCCCACUCCUACGGGAGGCAGCAGUGAGGAAUUUUCCACAAUGGGCGAAAGCCUGAUGGAGCGACGCUGCGUGCGGGAUGAAGGCCUUCGGGUUGUAAACCGCUUUUUUUAGGGACGAUAAUGACGGUACCUAAAGAAUAAGCUACGGCUAACUACGUGCCAGCAGCCGCGGUAAUACGUAGGUAGCAAGUGUUACCCGGAAUCAUUGGGCGUAAAGGGUGCGCAGGUGGACAUACGCGUGGAUCGUUAAAAUUUGGCGCUCAACGUCAAAGCUAUGAUCCAAACGGUAUGUCUUGAGAGCAGGAGAGGAAGCUAGAAUUCCCGGUGUAGCAGUGAAAUGCGUUGAUAUCGGGAGGAAUACCAAUGGCGAAGGCAGGCUUCUGGACUGUUUCUGACACUCAGGCACGAAAGCGUGGGUAGCAAACGGGAUUAGAUACCCCGGUAGUCCACGCUGUAAACUAUGAUGACUAGAUGUUGGCGGCUCGACCCCGUCGGCAUCGCAGCAAACGCGUUAAGUCAUCCGCCUGGGGACUACGAACGCAAGUUUAAAACUCAAAGGAAUUGACGGGGACCUGCACAAGCGGGGGAUCAUGUGGUUUAAUUCGACGGUAAACGAAGAACCUUACCGAGGCUCAACUACUAGCUGCAAACCUUAUGAAAAUAGGGUUCCCUCGAGGGUGCUAGAUAGGUGCUGCAUGGUUGUCGUCAGCUCGUGUCGUGAGAUGUUGGGUUAAGUCCUCCAACGGGCGCAACCCUCGUCCUGUGUUAUUUAUGUCACAGGAGACCGCCGGUGUUAAAUCGGAGGAAGGUGAGGAUGACGUCAAAUCCGCAUGGCCCUUAUGUCUCGGGCUACACACAUGAUACAAUGGCCGUAACAAUGGGUUUGCCAAGCCGCAAGGCGGAGCUAAUCCCACCAAAUACGGUCCCAGUUCGGAUCAGGGGCUGCAACUCGACCCCGUGAAGCUGGACUCGCUAGUAAACGUGGGUCAGCUAUACCACGUUGAAUACGUUCCCAGGUCUUGUACACACCGCCCGUCAAGUCAUGGAAGAUGGAAACAUUUGAAGU
rnacentral:rRNA from 1 species